rnacentral:rRNA from 1 species
AUUGAACGCUGGCGGCAUGCCUUACACAUGCAAGUCGAACGGCAGCACGGGAGCAAUCCUGGUGGCGAGUGGCGAACGGGUGAGUAAAGUAUCGGAACGUGCCCAGUCGUGGGGGAUAACGUAGCGAAAGUUACGCUAAUACCGCAUACGAUCUAUGGAUGAAAGCGGGGGAUCGCAAGACCUCGCGCGAUUGGAGCGGCCGAUAUCAGAUUAGGUAGUUGGUGGGGUAAAGGCUCACCAAGCCGACGAUCUGUAGCUGGUCUGAGAGGACGAACAGCCACAAGGGGACUGAGACACGGCCCAGACUCCUACGGGAGGCAGCAGUGGGGAAUUUUGGACAAUGGGCGAAAGCCUGAUCCAGCCAUGCCGCGUGCAGGAUGAAGGCCUUCGGGUUGUAAACUGCUUUUGUACGGAACGAAAAGGUUUGGCCUAAUAAGCUGAGCUCAUGACGGUACCGUAAGAAUAAGCACCGGCUAACUACGUGCCAGCCGCCGCCGUAA